AUACUCUGGUUACUCUUCAGAUCGUAUAAAUCUUUCGCCUUUUACUAAAUAUUUCUGUGGACAGAUAUGGGCUUUUGGAUGGGGGUAGAAGCAGUGAGCACAGUAUUCUCACUGAC